rnacentral:rRNA from 1 species
GAUGAACGCUGGCGGCGUGCCUAAUACAUGCAAGUCGAGCGAACAGACGAGGAGCUUGCUCCUCUGACGUUAGCGGCGGACGGGUGAGUAACACGUGGAUAACCUACCUAUAAGACUGGGAUAACUUCGGGAAACCGGAGCUAAUACCGGAUAAUAUAUUGAACCGCAUGGUUCAAUAGUGAAAGACGGUUUUGCUGUCACUUAUAGAUGGAUCCGCGCCGCAUUAGCUAGUUGGUAAGGUAACGGCUUACCAAGGCGACGAUGCGUAGCCGACCUGAGAGGGUGAUCGGCCACACUGGAACUGAGACACGGUCCAGACUCCUACGGGAGGCAGCAGAAGGGAAUCUUCCGCAAAGGGCGAAAGCCUGACGGAGCAACGCCGCGUGAGUGAUGAAGGUCUUCGGAUCGUAAAACUCUGUUAUUAGGGAAGAACAAAUGUGUAAGUAACUAUGCACGUCUUGACGGUACCUAAUCAGAAAGUCACGGCUAACUACGUG